ACUCCUACGGGAGGCAGCAGUGGGGAAUAUUGCACAAUGGGCGAAAGCCUGAUGCAGCGACGCCGCGUGAAGGAUGAAGUAUUUCGGUAUGUAAACUUCUAUCAGCAGGGAAGAAAAUGACGGUACCUGACUAAGAAGCCCCGGCUAACUACGUGCCAGCAGCCGCGGUAAU
rnacentral:rRNA from 1 species